AAGCUCUGCUCGUUUUAAGUGUUUUAACUCCCGAUCACCGCUACCCUUUCCGAUUGAUCUGAGCCUCAUAACGUAUGUCAGGGCUCUGCCCGACUAAGUUGUUGCGAUUCGGUCUCGGGACAAGGUUAAGUUAGAGGUAAUUACAGUAGAUUGGGGUAAGAAUUGGAUACGGCACCAACAAGACUUACAGAAGUGGCUCAUUUUGUCAAUUAAAUUAAAUUAAGAAAGUUGUGUUAUGUAAUCAAGUUUAUCCCAUAUCAAAAGCUAACUUUGUAAAACAUGGGUUUAUCCCAUCUAUUUAAUAAAUAAAAUCCGGUGUUUCUAAA